GGGGCUAUACAUGCAGUAGAACGCUGAAGCUUGGUGCUUGCACCGAGCGGAUGAGUUGCGAACGGGUGAGUAACGCGUAGGUAACCUGCCUCUUAGCGGGGGAUAACUAUUGGAAACGAUAGCUAAUACCGCAUAAAAGUCGAUAUCGCAUGAUAUUGAUUUGAAAGGCGCAAUUGCAUCACUAAGAGAUGGACCUGCGUUGUAUUAGCUAGUUGGUGAGGUAACGGCUCACCAAGGCGACGAUACAUAGCCGACCUGAGAGGGUGAUCGGCCACACUGGGACUGAGACACGGCCCAGACUCCUACGGGAGGCAGCAGUAGGGAAUCUUCGGCAAUGGGGGCAACCCUGACCGAGCAACGCCGCGUGAGUGAAGAAGGUUUUCGGAUCGUAAAGCUCUGUUGUAAGAGAAGAACGAGUGUGAGAGUGGAAAGUUCACACUGUGACGGUAACUUACCAGAAAGGGACGGCUAACUACGUGCCAG
rnacentral:rRNA from 1 species